ACGAAGCUGGCGGCAGGCUUAACACAUGCAAGUCGAGCGCCCCGCAAGGGGAGCGGCAGACGGGAGAGUAACACGUGGGAACGUACCCUUCAGUUCGGAACAACCCAGGGAAACUUGGGCUAAUACCGGAUACGUCCGUAAGGAGAAAGAUUUAUCGCUGAAGGAGCGGCCCGCGUCUGAUUAGCUAGUUGGUGAGGUAAUGGCUCACCAAGGCGACGAUCAGUAGCUGGUCUGAGAGGAUGAUCAGCCUCACUGGGACUGAGACACGGCCCAGACUCCUACGGGAGGCAGCAGUGGGGAAUAUUGGACAAUGGGCGCAAGCCUGAUCCAGCCAUGCCGCGUGGGUGAUGAAGGCCCUAGGGUUGUAAAGCCCUUUCGGCGGGGAAGAUAAUGACGGUACCCGCAGAANAAGCCCCGGCUAACUUCGUGCCAGCAGCCGCGGUAAUACGAAGGGGGCUAGCGUUGCUCGGAAUCACUGGGCGUUAAGCGCACGUA
rnacentral:rRNA from 1 species